UCUGCAGCUGACUGUCCUUCUCUGCCCACCUUAUAAAACAUGGAAAAAUCACCCUUCCCCUAUCCAGCUGCCUGGCUGAGGCAAAGCUUUAAAGGGCAAAAUUGCAGCUCCUUCAAACAGUGAUUCACAGAAGAACUUGAGCUUUGAUUUAUAAUUAGAGCUCUGAAAACCUUUCAUUGCAAAGCUGCCCUGAUGACUUUGAGAGUUUCGCAUGGACACGGGCUGAAUGACCGUCUGUUCACAAGACAAUCAUCUGUGCUUUUGCUUAUGAGAUGCUCUUAUGCAAAAGAGCAAGCCAGGAAAGAAGAAAUCUUGCUGCUGUGAAAACACUUGAGUUCCUUCUUGGCUUCAGUGCCUUGAAAGACAGAGGCCACCCAAAAGUAAAAGCCCCCCUGUGGAGGAUAAUUAUUUUUAUUUAAAAGGAUGAGCAUAAGCCUUAAAUGAAUUUUGUACAUCCCUUCCUUGUGAAUCUUCAUGCAUCUUGAUAUUUGUUUUCUGUUUUUCUCUUCAUAGACUGUGAUACCUCCUUUCUCCCUCUUUUUCUUUUGUCUUGCUCUCUCCUUGUGGUAGCCCUACCCCAAAAAAAUCUUGAGCUCCUCAGUAUGCCUUUUCUCCUUUGAAAAAAAUGAUCUUUUCUUGAAUCUCACAUAAAAAAACAGUUGCAGAAAUGUGUAAUCUCUCAACAUCCAGAGGUAGAAGCUGUGAAGAGAAACAUGGAUUUGAAAGGAAAUGAAUGUAUUAGUUCUGUGUCACUUUGAAUCAGCAAUGCUGUCUAUGCCUACAUGCCUAUGCAUAGAUUGAAAGCUCUAAAGCUUGCUUUCAAUCCCUGAACCCCCUGAAUUUGUACUUGUAGUAUACACUGUAUAUAUGCCACAUUUUGUAUGUAUGGCACACCUUGUCAAGCCUCUUAACAAGAGAUGAUUUUCUAGUGCUAGCACUGAUCCUGUAUCAUGGUGUCACCUACAAUACCAUGCUCAGCUUAUCCUGUUGAGAAGAAUUCUACACAGCUAGUAUAACUCUAUCAAGUUUAUCUUACUGCUUCUAGCAAUUAGUUCUGAAGUUUUGGAGGCCAAUAUAUGUGAUUAAUACACAUACAUAAAGCAUAUCCUCUCAUUUGCUAGUAAUUGAAUUUGCUUUUCCUUUUUUUUUUUUUGUUAUAACAUGUGGCUGGAUGUCACAGGAAAUAAUCACGUACGAUAGGGUAUUGCUAUAGUUUAGUACUUUGAAAAGAUUAACAGGGCAGCAGUUUCUCAUUUUCUCAGUCAUGUUCUAUGGAUAGUUAUACUGGAAUAAUAACAACGAGUGAUGUGAUUUUGAUCAUUUAUCCAAGACCUCAUGGCACAUGGAAACAAAAAUUUGCAAGUAGGUACUGUAUUUUGAGUCAGUUUUUAGUAUGCAGGUGACAAGAAAACAUUUUUCAAAACUUUAAAUUAGAGAUGAAAUAAAAAUUAGCCAGAAAACCUUAGGUGCAUAUAAAACUGGACAACAAAAAUAGGGAAAUAAUGAGGAGGAAAACGCUUUCCUCUGAAGUCAUCAAAUAUUGAUGACACUUGCCUGUGAUCUACAGCUAAGACACCAUUACUGCUGUAUAAAGUUACGUUAAGACUCUGGACAUCAGUGGUCAAAUGUUCCAAACAUGAAAGUCAAGUUUUAAGGGAUAAUGUUGAUUGCAAAUACAGGGAUUAAUUCUUUUAAGAAUGGGAAAGUGGGUUAAGCUGGCAGUGGAGCAAACUUGUUGUGACUUCUAAGGUCCAGCAGUGAGGACAGAAGGAUCCAAAAAUUUUCAGAGUACAGUGCAUGGCAUAUACCAAGGCCUUAGAACUUUGAUGUAUCUGGGAGGAAGAGGAGGAUGAGGACUUCUCUGUGUCCCUACCAGCGUGCAGAUAAGGGCACUGGACAUGGCACUGUCUGUUAGCCUGCCCUCAAAAUCAGGGAUGAAGGUUUCCAAGGAGUUGGUCCGGGAUUCACAGUUUUGCUCUCUAAAUGGAAACCACUGAGCGUGGUUAAUCAAUCACAUAACAGGCCUAUCAGGUUAAUUAACUUGUUUCCAAAAGUGAUCACGAAUGGUUGAAGUAGAAGGAGGUGAUAGACUUGAUUAGCUGGGCAUAAAAAAUUGCAAAUAGACCAUUAAAAUAUUUUUGUCUGUCUUAAUGUGUGCAACAUUUUUAUAACAUAUCCACUCUACUUACAAUGCAAAUAUCAACUUCCAUGCCUACAAAAGUAAAACAACAUCAAAUUCUCUGUUUGCCACGUGGAACACUUCAUAAAUGUCCAUAAGGGCUUUGAUUUGUGGUUUGUCUUCUCAGAAGCUGGAAAAUGAAGCCAUAUCCCAUAGAUGGAAUAAAAAAGUUGUUCUCUAUGAAAGCAACUUUCUCUCCUGUAGCUCUACCAGAGUCUCAUGAAUAGAUUUUGAAGGUGGAAAUUUGACUACCUUAUUCUUCAAGAAAGAUCUAAACAGAAAAGUUGUUUUGAUAGUUUAGAAAGAAAGGAAAAAAAGAGAUGGGACUUUUCUGGAAGGCUGGAGCAGGCUAUCAGCAGUUUAAUGGCCUCAUUAAUCAUCAUCAUCUUUACAAAAAACCUGCAUCACUUCUUCACUCUACCUUUCCACUGAAUUACUGAAACAGAUCACUAUAUAUUGAAUAUUAUUUUUUUAACUUCUGAUUUAACUGUCCUCAUAAUCUGCUGUAGCCCAAAUAUUCUGAAGAUAUCCCAUGUCUUUUCUAAUAUGUAACCCUUUAGCAUCCAGAAGUAAACAGUAAACUCCCUUUAUACUUUUUACCUUGACAACAUCAAGAGAUGGAUGUAGAGUUAGGUUUCAUGGAGGUUUUAACUUGAGUGCUGAGCGUAAUAAAGUACCUAAACCUCCCUCCAAUAAAACGGAACCAGUAAAAAUUUAAUUCUAUACUUUCAAACAAAUCUGAGCAGUAGGUAAGUUUAUGUGGAUAAGAAGAAGCUUUAUAAAGACAAAAAUCAAUUCCUGGUAGCCCUGCUCCCAUUUCCCUCUUUGGAACAGACUGCACUGCCUUCACUGUCAACUGUCGCAGCAAAGACUGUCCUACGAGCUGUAACAUCUCCCAUGUGCAUAUCACUAAUUAUCUGCAGCAGGGAAGCAUGUUCAGAUUUUAACUACACAAAAUAACAACCCAAGCGUAUGGAUUAUGACAUGAGACAAAUUUUAAUGUCUUGGAGUCAUAAAGGGCUGGUAGCUGUGGCAUUCCCCAGCCUACACAGAGAAUGAGGUGAAUGUUUUGGAGUGUUAAGGCUUAUGAUUUCCAACUAUCCCAGGGGCUUUGGAAAGGGAGAGUGACAUUUACCACAGAUUCUUGAACUAACCACAAAAUCUGGGCAUCACCAAUGUUCCACUCAAGGGUAUAAACAGUGCACAGGUUUUUGCAGAAUCACGAAGUGGUACAACUUUGAAGAGACCUUUGCGGGCCAUCUGGACUAGUCUCUCCUAUUGAAGCAGGACCACUCACAGGAGGCUCCUUAGGACUUUGUUCAGAUGGCUUUUCAGUAUCUCCAUGGAUGGAGACUACAAUCUCUCUGAGAAACCCAUGGCAAUGCUCAGUUAUCCCUACAGUACAAAAGACAUGAUCCCAGCAUGAGCCAGUGGGAGGAGAGAGAAAAAUGAACCAAACCUCUUUGCUGUUCCUGAGGUAGCAAGACAACACAAAUUCCAGAGUUCCAACUCCCAGGGGGUAGAAGGCCGCAGUGCUAUCUUGGUUCUUCUUGGUUGCCAAGGUUGAGAACAACUCUUCAAGAUACAUUUUCAUGGACAAAGUACAACUAGUGCUGAGGGGGUGAACUCCGGAGAAGGGACUUGACCUGAGGGGGAAUUGCAUCAACACUUGUACUCCUAAUUGGUGCUUUUCAUAAAGUCUGGU